rnacentral:lncRNA from 1 species
AGAGAGGUGUUUCAGACAGAGGAGACCAUGAGCAAUAGUUUAGAUGUUGUUCCUAGAGCAGCACAGAUCGAGCAUGAAGUGCUAAAGGCUGGAGAGGCAAGAAAAUCCCAGGGGGAUUUUCUUUGCCUCCCAGGAGGCAAAGUCUACUUCAUCCCAUAAGAAUUGAGAGGUCAGAUGGCCUUCCAGCCACACCCUGCCCUUCCUCCUCCCUAGGCUCCAACUUGCCAGUCUGAUAAUGUGUGUCUUCUUCCCCUCAGUGAAUCAUUAAUGCCUUACCUGCGGACUUCACAAUAGCCCUCAGGUGGGCCGGUUAUGAUGCAGCAAAUGCAAUCACCAUCCCUUGGGUUUCCAUUACACUGUCAAAGAAACAGACUACAGGCAUUAACACCUCCCAUCUAAGCCUGUUGCCGGAGUAUGGUCAGAGAAAGGGAAAAUGGCUAUCCAAAGGGUGGAACACAGAAGACUGGACAUCCAGGAGCUGAAGAAAGGGACACUGAAGACGGCGACUCAAACAGGAAUGGAAAAUCAGUCAAAAUCCCUAGUGACAACUGCUCCUGCUUUCAUCAAGCUUCCCUGUGUUGCCAAGAGGACCUGUGUUCUGCGCUACCAUUGGGGAUAUGGACCAAAUUCAACAAAUCAGACCCCCGCAUUGCCCUAGGAAAAUACUCCCCCUUGGAAAAAGAGAUCUUGCGUCUAGGUGGUGUUCAUACUAUAGCCACGAGAAGGUUUUUGGCUUCCAAACAAGAGGAAGAACGGAAAAUGGUGCAGGAACUGCGGAUGCUGUCUCCAGACUACAAACAGGCCAUGGAAUAUAAGAAACAGUGCUCCCCUCCUUGUGCUGUGUAUGAACCCGUGAAGAAACUGUGGACAGCACGAGUGACUGUGCCUGCCGAGGAGUUCACAAUGCCCCAGAGGGAGAAGAUCAACGUCAGCAGGCACGUAGAGAGGAUGCAGCUGGCCCGAACCCUGGGAAAUGCCCUGGUCUCCUACGCUGAAAGACUCAGAAGCGCCAUGUCUCUGGGUCUGCCAGCAAAGGGCAAGGCGAAGAAAGAUGGGGACAGUCUUGACAGUGAUUAUUGUGAUACUAUCAAGCAGGAGGAGGAAAAGGAGGAAGAGGGCAAAGUCCCAAGAAGACAAGAAAUAAAAAUGAAUGUCAUUUUUAAGUCAGAAGAAGCAAACAAAUGUUUACCAUGCCAAGCAAAGGAUUGCAAACCUUUCCUUCCCAUAAAGACACCGGAACGGUCCAUUGCAGGCCUAACAAACCGAAAUCUCCUUCCCCUAGCUGAGUUCCCUGGAGACCUCAUGCUCAUGAACCAGAAUUUUAUAUCUCGGGGAAUCCACACCAGUGAUAUACUCGGUACCUACCACCUGCAAGAAGGGAAUCCCUGCAAGGAGUGCAUGGGCAAAGCUGCUCCUCCUAAUUAUUAAACUUGAAUUUAUUCCCCAAGGCACCCAAGGGUCCUUAUUUCUUUCGCACACUGUGCCCCAGGCUCCUUCCCUAGUUUGG